AGAGUUUGAUCAUGGCUCAGGACGAACGCUGGCGGCGUGCUUAACACAUGUAAGUCGAGCGGAAAGGCCCUUCGGGGUACUCGAGCGGCGAACGGGUGAGUAACACGUGAGCAACCUGCCCUUGGCUUUGGGAUAACCCUCGGAAACGGGGGCUAAUACCGGAUAUGCAUCUUCUGCCGCAUGGUGGUUGGUGGAAAGUUUUUCGGCCAGGGAUGGGCUCGCGGCCUAUCAGCUUGUUGGUGGGGUGAUGGCCUACCAAGGCGACGACGGGUAGCCGGCCUGAGAGGGCGACCGGCCACACUGGGACUGAGGCACGGCCCAGACUCCUACGGGAGGCAGCAGUGGGGAAUAUUGCACAAUGGGCGAAAGCCUGACGCAGCGACGCCGCGUGGGGGAUGACGGCCUUCGGGUCGUAAACCUCUUUCAGCAGGGACGAAGCGAGAGUGACGGUACCUGCAGAAGAAGCACCGGCCAACUACGUGCCAGCCGCCGCGGUAAUAC
rnacentral:rRNA from 1 species